rnacentral:rRNA from 1 species
ACUCCUACGGGAGGCAGCAGUGGGGAAUAUUGCACAAUGGGCGCAAGCCUGAUGCAGCCAUGCCGCGUGUGUGAAGAAGGCCUUCGGGUUGUAAAGCACUUUCAGCAGUGAGGAAGGCGGAGUCGUUAAUAGCGGCCUCGUUUGACGUUAGCUGCAGAAGAAGCACCGGCUAACUCCGUGCCAGCAGCCGCGGUAAUACGGAGGGUGCGAGCGUUAAUCGGAAUUACUGGGCGUAAAGCGCAUGCAGGCGGCCUGUUAAGUCAGAUGUGAAAGCCCGGGGCUUAACCUCGGAAUUGCAUUUGAAACUGGCAGGCUAGAGUCUUGUAGAGGGGGGUAGAAUUUCAGGUGUAGCGGUGAAAUGCGUAGAGAUCUGAAGGAAUACCGGUGGCGAAGGCGGCCCCCUGGACAGAUACUGACACUCAGAUGCGAAAGCGUGGGGAGCAAACAGGAUUAGAUACCCUGGUAGGAUAGCG